rnacentral:tRNA from 1 species
GGCAACGUGGCCGAGCGGUUAAGGCGCUGUGUUCAGGAUCAUGUGAUAAGAUCUCUUCUCGCACGAUACUUUUCGCAGUUCAAUUUGAGCGCGCGUUCGAAUCGCGCCGUUGUCA